GACGAACGCUGGCGGCGUGCUUAACACAUGCAAGUCGAACGGAAAGGCCCUGCUUGCAGGGUACUCGAGUGGCGAACGGGUGAGUAACACGUGGGUGAUCUGCCCUGCACUUCGGGAUAAGCCUGGGAAACUGGGUCUAAUACCGGACAGGAGCCAUUUUGAGUGUGAUGGUUGGAAAGUUUUUUCGGUGUAGGAUGAGCUCGCGGCCUAUCAGCUUGUUGGUGGGGUAAUGGCCUACCAAGGCGGCGACGGGUAGCCGGCCUGAGAGGGUGGACGGCCACAUUGGGACUGAGAUACGGCCCCGACUCCGACGGGAGGCAGCAGUGGGGAAGAUUGCACAAGGGGCGCAAGCCUGAUGCAGCGACGCCGCGUGGGGGAUGACGGCCUUCGGGUUGUAAUCUCCUUUCGCUAGGGACGAAGCUUUUUGUGACGGUACCUAGAUAAGAAGCACCGGCUAACUACGUG
rnacentral:rRNA from 1 species